GAAAAAAAAAAUAUUGGAUUUUGUUGUGAUGCAAUAUUUUACCCCUACUUUCAUCACUUGUUUUCUUAACAAAUCUUCCUAGCCUGUGCUUGCAUUUAUGUGUAACUAUUUUUGGAUUGUUGAAGACUCCUAUAUUGUUGAGUUGCUCAUCAAAUAAUGCAUUGAUUCUAUUAAAAUUACUAGAUUUGAGUAAUUGUUCCAAACUUGAAGUUAUUCUAGCAAAUGUCUUAUUAUAGUUGAUAUUGUUAGAAGCAUUUUAUAUGAUUAACAACUCUAUUCGCAUGGUAUAUGAUUAACAAAUGUAUAAAAAUAUUCAUGGGAGAUGAAUGGGGCUGGCAUGGAAAGUAUGAAACCUUAAAAAAAUCAUGCAUUUAUUUAGAGCACGGGAUUAAAGUGCUGUUGAGGGAGAUUGAAGUUCUAUAUUUAGAUU
rnacentral:misc_RNA from 1 species